rnacentral:rRNA from 1 species
AUUGAACGCUGGCGGCAGGCCUAACACAUGCAAGUCGAACGAGUGGCGGACGGGUGAGUAAUGUCUGGGAAACUGCCUGAUGGAGGGGGAUAACUACUGGACACGGUAGCUAAUACCGCAUACCAUCAGAUGUGCCCAGAUGGGAUUAGCUUGUUGGGGGGGUAACUGCUCACCAAGGCGACGGUCCCUAGCUGGUCUGAGAGGAUGACGAGCGAGACUGGGACUGAGACACGGCCCAGACUCCUACGGUAGGCAGCAGUGAGGAACAUUGCACAAUGGGCGCAAGCCUGAUGCAGCCAUGCCGCGUGUAUGAAGAAGGCCUUCGGGUUGUAAAGUACUUUCAGCGGGGAGGCGUUACCCGCAGACGAAUCGCUGGCUAACUCUGUGCCAGCCGCCGCGGUAAUAC